rnacentral:rRNA from 1 species
ACGCUGGCGGCAGGCCUAACACAUGCAAGUCGAUCGGUAACAGGAAGCAGCUUGCUGCUUUGCUGACGAGUGGCGGACGGGUGAGUAAUGUCUGGGAAACUGCCUGAUGGAGGGGGAUAACUACUGGAAACGGUAGCUAAUACCGCAUAACGUCGCAAGACCAAAGAGGGGGACCUUCGGGCCUCUUGCCAUCGGAUGUGCCCAGAUGGGAUUAGCUAGUAGGUGGGGUAACGGCUCACCUAGGCGACGAUCCCUAGCUGGUCUGAGAGGAUGACCAGCCACACUGGAACUGAGACACGGUCCAGACUCCUACGGGAGGCAGCAGUGGGGAAUAUUGCACAAUGGGCGCAAGCCUGAUGCAGCCAUGCCGCGUGUAUGAAGAAGGCCUUCGGGUUGUAAAGUACUUUCAGCGGGGAGGAAGGGAGUAAAGUUAAUACCUUUGCUCAUUGACGUUACCCGCAGAAGAAGCACCGGCUAACUCCGUGCCAGCAGCCGCGGUAAUACAGAGGGUGCAAGCGUUAAUCGGAAUUACUGGGCGUAAAGCGCACGCAGGCGGUUUGUUAAGUCAGAUGUGAAAUCCCCGGGCUCAACCUGGGAACUGCAUCUGAUACUGGCAAGCUUGAGUCUCGUAGAGGGGGGUAGAAUUCCAGGUGUAGCGGUGAAAUGCGUAGAGAUCUGGAGGAAUACCGGUGGCGAAGGCGGCCCCCUGGACGAAGACUGACGCUCAGGUGCGAAAGCGUGGGGAGCAAACAGGAUUAGAUACCCUGGUAGUCCACGCCGUAAACGAUGUCGACUUGGAGGUUGUGCCCUUGAGGCGUGGCUUCCGGAGCUAACGCGUUAAGUCGACCGCCUGGGGAGUACGGCCGCAAGGUUAAAACUCAAAUGAAUUGACGGGGGCCCGCACAAGCGGUGGAGCAUGUGGUUUAAUUCGAUGCAACGCGAAGAACCUUACCUGGUCUUGACAUCCACGGAAGUUUUCAGAGAUGAGAAUGUGCCUUCGGGAACCGUGAGACAGGUGCUGCAUGGCUGUCGUCAGCUCGUGUUGUGAAAUGUUGGGUUAAGUCCCGCAACGAGCGCAACCCUUAUCCUUUGUUGCCAGCGGUCCGGCCGGGAACUCAAAGGAGACUGCCAGUGAUAAACUGGAGGAAGGUGGGGAUGACGUCAAGUCAUCAUGGCCCUUACGACCAGGGCUACACACGUGCUACAAUGGCGCAUACAAAGAGAAGCGACCUCGCGAGAGCAAGCGGACCUCAUAAAGUGCGUCGUAGUCCGGAUUGGAGUCUGCAACUCGACUCCAUGAAGUCGGAAUCGCUAGUAAUCGUGGAUCAGAAUGCCACGGUGAAUACGUUCCCGGGCCUUGUACACACCGCCCGUCACACCAUGGGAGUGGGUUGCAAAAGAAGUAGGUAGCUUAACCUUCGGGAGGGCGCUUACCAC